CAGCAGCCACGGUAAGACAGAGGAUGCAAGCGUUAUCCGGAAUGAUUGGGCGUAAAGCGUCUGUAGGUGGCUUUUCAAGUCCGCCGUCAAAUCCCAGGGCUCAACCCUGGACAGGCGGUGGAAACUACCAAGCUGGAGUACGGUAGGGGCAGAGGGAAUUUCCGGUGGAGCGGUGAAAUGCGUCGAGAUCGGAAAGAACACCAACGUCGAAAGCACUCUGCUGGGCCGACGCUGACACUGAGAGACGAAAGCUAGGGGAGCAAAUGGGAUUAGAUACCCCAGUAGUCCCUGUCUCUUAUAC
rnacentral:rRNA from 1 species